rnacentral:rRNA from 1 species
GAUGAACGCUGGCGGCGUGCCUAAUACAUGCAGGUCGAGCGAACGGACGAGAAGCUUGCUUCUCUGAUGUUAGCGGCGGACGGGUGAGUAACACGUGGAUAACCUACCUAUAAGACUGGGAUAACUUCGGGAAACCGGAGCUAAUACCGGAUAAUAUUUUGAACCGCAUGGUUCAAAAGUGAAAGACGGUCUUGCUGUCACUUAUAGAUGGAUCCGCGCUGCAUUAGCUAGUUGGUAAGGUAACGGCUUACCAAGGCAACGAUGCAUAGCCGACCUGAGAGGGUGAUCGGCCACACUGGAACUGAGACACGGUCCAGACUCCUACGGGAGGCAGCAGUAGGGAAUCUUCCGCAAUGGGCGAAAGCCUGACGGAGCAACGCCGCGUGAGUGAUGAAGGUCUUCGGAUCGUAAAACUCUGUUAUUAGGGAAGAACAUAUGUGUAAGUAACUGUGCACAUCUUGACGGUAUCUAAUCAGAAAGCCACGGCUAACUACGUG